AAAGUGUGCAGCCCGUUUGGAUAAAACGGCGACAUCUGGAGUCGUCUCCACCCCUCUACCCGCAGAAAUCACCUCUGUUCCGCCUUCAUGGAUUACGGGAGGACAGGCGGCGGCGCUUGAUCUGUACCAGAAACUAGAAGAUGGAAGAUUGUGUGCAUGAGUUCUUGCUUGAUGCCGUGGACAGUUAGUUCCCGGGGGAUCUAAUAUGUUUUUUGGGGUAAGCAGUGUCAGCAGGCACGCCGGGAGAAAUAAGCUAACGCUGGCCAUGACCGGCGCUGGUUGCCACUUGAGAUCAGGUUCCCGCUCCGGGAGGAGUUCGCCGAUAGCUUGGAUCACACAGAUCCAGCGCCUCUGGCCUUUCUGCUGGAGAGCUUGGCCAACGGUGGAGUCCCGGCGGACUCAAACAAUGGGUCUGGUUACGGGCAGCAGAUCGGCAGCGCUGUCCCGGAGAGAGCACACGGGGUGGUGCGCCGUCGUCCGGAUGCUUCUCCUGCUUGGUUGGCGCAGUCAACUGACAGAAUCAACCGGCAAGCCCCCGCUGGACGAAAAGGUCUGAACCCCAAACACUGUCAUUGUAGAAUUGCAUUUGUUCAGAGUGUUUGCCCCACGUUCAUAUAUCCAAACAAAAUAAUAAUAUCUGAGCUCACAGUAGUACGAAUAAAAAAUGCAGGAACUGAUCUAUGUAGCAGUGGAAAUGUAAACCAUGGUAGGCGAUCGUAACAGUAUAGCUGCUGUAACUACUUUUAUGCAAAUUCUGGAAGUAUUUUACUAUUGAAGGCCGGUUUGUAAAUUUAGGUUAUGACUCGGUAGUGCACCACCAGACAGGACUCCAUGCCCAUCACGGAUGAGUGCAUUGGAACAAUCUAUUCGGAAGUAUGCGGAACCUAUGAAAAGUUUAGUACAUCCCACACUAGGCCUAAGUUUCAAUUCAUUGUGCGAGGCGACUUCUAUAAGAGCCGGCUAAACGCCGAAAGGACAAAGUCAAUGCAAGAAAUUGUCUGCGGCUGCUCGGUAAACACUGAUUCAUGUAAUUAUCAUUUUGGAAAAUAAGUGGCAGCCAUGGGUUUCGGUGCUGCAAGUGUGUUUAAAUGAUGGCAUUUGUGUUUUUAUGAAAUUAUACUGGGGAAACCAGAGGCAGAGAAUAGUAGUUCAUGCCACUGUGAGUGUCCUGCAUUUAUAAGGCUGCAGCGCACGACCGACAACAGUUGGUACAUAAUAGACCAAGGACAUGGCCCACGACAAAUAUAACAAAGGCUAUCUGGAAACAAUAUUUUUCUAGCUUGCUGGAAUUCUCGUUGAUGUCGCCCAAAAGGAACUCUUCUGCUGCGCGCAAGCUGUGAACCCCUAUCUUGUUCAUUUCAAGUAAUACCUAUAAGAACUAAAUUGCUUCAGGGUUUAUGUUGGCAUCCGUGCCUUUGAUUUUGCGAUGACCGCAAGGGAUCCCAAAAACCUUGUAUACAUCCUCAGCCCAGAACUUGAGGACCUUGCUGUCUGUCAGCACUAUCUCUCUCCAACUGACACUUACCCUGCUCAUUAUCCAAGAGAAGGUAACAACAGAAGCUGAUAAUGCAUGUAUUACAUGUAAAAUAGGAGUGGAAGAGGUGUUGUCCAGCUACAUGAAGAAUUGUAUUGUUCAGUUAAAAUUUAAGGAAGAGAAUAAGAGAUACGGUGAGUUCCUGUUCAAUCCAUUUUUGUUGCCUAUCAUGCCUUCAUUGAACCGAAAAAAUGGACUAUGACAAGAAUAGAAAAGUUUAUAUUUAGGCAUUUCUGCAAAACAGCAGACACACGAUCAUCACAAACAGCAUGAGAACCACUUGAUCUUGGACUUCUGAAGAUGCGUCUGGCCUGCGCAGCUCAACUUUGCCAUAGGCCAACUGGCAUCCGCUGGCGACAAAGCUUAGGCAUAGUCUGGUCUUGAAGCUGCUCGCAGGACUCAUUGGCUUCCCGAGCUUCCCAUCACCGCCUAGAUCCAGCUGUUCAUCUUUUUUCGUAAUAUCCUGAUCAUGUCCAUUGUGGCUGCUUGUAAAGUGAUGGAGGAAAUGACAGUCAUCGCCGAAGCGGUAGUCGCUGCUGCUGCGCAUUGACAAAAAAAAUUAGAUCCACCGCAAGGAGAAUGAGAGAAAAUAAUCCAGCUGUUGCAAAGUGAUUGCAGGCAGCAAUUUUUUGUUGUAGAUACAAAAGGUUAUUGUUCACAACAUGCCAUCCUUUCAGAAAAAGAUUUGCUUUUCGAAUGGAACAGCUUGAUAUUUAUGACCACAGAAAAUUAACCUGGAGGACCUGGUGUAUAUCUUCUUUGAUUUGUUAAAUGCCAACAAAGUCAGUGAAUCUUUUAACUGAAGGGACUGGUUACAUGCUCCAAUACUACUUUCAAAUGCAAAAAAUGUUUUGAGACAUCAAUGCAUGAUUCUAGUUGUUCCCAUGGACUGUUGGUGUGGAAGCAGAUUGAAUGCCGAGAGGACAAAGUCAAUGCAGGAGAUCGUUUGUGGCUGUCCGGGUAAGCCAGAUGCAGAGAAUAGAAGGUCGUGUAGAUGCAAUUGACCUGCAUUGAUACGGCUACUGUGGGCGGCUGACAAUAGUUGGUAUAUAAUAGAGCAUCAUGAGAAUCACAGCCAAGCACACAGAUGUGUACACGAAUGAUCUAAUACAGCCAGAUGAAGCGGCGCAGGAUAAUGGCGAGGGUGAAGUUGUCCUCAUGGAUCGCAAAGGCGGAACGAGCUGCAAGCAGGAAAUGGGCGUGGACUCAAGUUGCGGUUCUUUUGGAAGAAGGUUUCGGCGAUUUCCCAACCUCCGGCAUGCAGGUCGAAUAAAGUGUUGCUAUAACUGAUGUAAAAAAACGAUCCCUGACCGUGUAUGUGUUGAUUGACCUUAGUGACACUUGCUCACACGAAGAGGAGGUUGGUAGCAUCUCAUGUAAGCGUAGGCAGACAAAGAGUUGGUUUUGUUGAUUGUCUGUGUCGCUGUAUUUUUUCGGUCUCGCAUGUAGAGCUCUGGCGUAGUUACUGUGGUGUGCAUUUUGGGAGCACUUGUUGAAGGCAAUAGUCUGGUAUGCGUGAGCUAGCUUUUUUGAUUGUCGAAACCAUUGGUGUUGUAAUGUACGACGUUGUUGCCGGAGUG